GGAAAUACCAUUCUGGACAUAAGAACUGGCAAAGAUUUCAUAACAAGGACACCAAAAGUCAUUGCAACAAAAACAAAAAUUGACAGGUGAGACCUAAUUAAACUUAAGUGCUUCUGCAUGGCAUAAGAAACUAUCAUUAUGGUUUCUCUUCAGAAUGAAUAAAUCUUUUGCCUUUUAUUAAAGAUUUCCAUGAAGAGGAACAGAUGGGAGUUAGUAAGAAAUGUUUUGAAGUCCUGCUUGAGCAGGGCCAAGUAAAUUAAAAAAAAAAAAACUAUUAACAGAGUAAACAGACAACAUAAAGAAUGAGAGAAAAUAUUUGCAAACUGUGCAUCUGAGAAGGGUCUAAUAUCUAGAAUCUAUAAGUAACUUAAACAAAUCAACAAACAACCCCAAUAAAAAGUGGGCAAAGGACAUGAACACAAACACACACUUCUCAAAAGAAGACAUAAGCACAGCCAACAAGACAUAUAAAAAAUGCUCAACAUCAGUAAUAAUUAAAGAAAUGCAAAUCAAAACCACAAUGAGAUAGUUUCUCAUACCAGUCAGAAUGGCUAUUAUUAAAAAG
rnacentral:lncRNA from 10 species